GACGAACGCUGGCGGCGUGCCUAAUACAUGCAAGUGGGACGCAAGGAAACACACUGUGCUUGCACACCGUGUUUUCUUGAGUCGCGAACGGGUGAGUAACGCGUAGGUAACCUGCCUAUUAGCGGGGGAUAACUAUUGGAAACGAUAGCUAAUACCGCAUAAUAUUAAUUAUUGCAUGAUAAUUGAUUGAAAGAUGCAAGCGCAUCACUAGUAGAUGGACCUGCGUUGUAUUAGCUAGUUGGUAAGGUAAGAGCUUACCAAGGCGACGAUACAUAGCCGACCUGAGAGGGUGAUCGGCCACACUGGGACUGAGACACGGCCCAGACUCCUACGGGAGGCAGCAGUAGGGAAUCUUCGGCAAUGGACGAAAGUCUGACCGAGCAACGCCGCGGGAGUGAAGAAGGUUUUCGGGUCGUAAAGCUCUGUUGUAAGUCAAGAACGUGUGUGAGAGUGGAAAGUUCACACAGUGACGGUAGCUUACCAGAAAGGGACGGCUAACUACGUG
rnacentral:rRNA from 1 species